rnacentral:rRNA from 1 species
UCGUAUUAAUACCGCAUACGACCUACGGGAGAAAGGGGGCAGUUUACUGCUCUCGCUAUUAGAUGAGCCUAAGUCGGAUUAGCUAGAUGGUGGGGUAAAGGCCUACCAUGGCGACGAUCUGUAGCUGGUCUGAGAGGAUGAUCAGCCACACCGGGACUGAGACACGGCCCGGACUCCUACGGGAGGCAGCAGUGGGGAAUAUUGGACAAUGGGGGAAACCCUGAUCCAGCCAUGCCGCGUGUGUGAAGAAGGCCUUUUGGUUGUAAAGCACUUUAAGCAGUGAAGAAGACUCUUCGGUUAAUACCCGGAGACGAUGACAUUAGCUGCAGAAUAAGCACCGGCUAACUCUGUGCCAGCAGCCGCGGUAAUACAGAGGGUGCAAGCGUUAAUCGGAAUUACUGGGCGUAAAGGGAGCGUAGGUGGCUCUAUAAGUCAGAUGUGAAAUCCCCGGGCUUAACCUGGGAACUGCAUCUGAAACUGUAGAGCUAGAGUAUGUGAGAGGGAGGUAGAAUUUCAGGUGUAGCGGUGAAAUGCGUAGAGAUCUGAAGGAAUACCGAUGGCGAAGGCAGCCUCCUGGCAUAAUACUGACACUGAGGCUCGAAAGCGUGGGUAGCAAACAGGAUUAGAUACCCUGGUAGUCCACGCCGUAAACGAUGUCUACUAGUCGUUGGGUCCCUUGAGGACUUAGUGACGCAGCUAACGCAAUAAGUAGACCGCCUGGGGAGUACGGCCGCAAGGUUAAAACUCAAAUGAAUUGACGGGGGCCCGCACAAGCGGUGGAGCAUGUGGUUUAAU